GGGCGAUUAGCUCAGUUGGGAGAGCACCUGCCUUACAAGCAGGGGGUCACUGGUUCGGUCCUCGGUAUCGCCCACCA
rnacentral:tRNA from 1 species